CGUGCCAUGGAGCCCGAGCUGGCGGCUCAGAAGCAGCCUCGACCGCGGAGGCGAAGCCGCCGGGCCUCUGGGCUCAGCACGGAGGGAGCGACGGGGCCUUCGGCCGACACCUCCGGGUCGGAGCUGGACGGGAGUGUUCCCUUCGGAGAGGCAGCUCCUUCACAUUCUUAACACCUGGCCCCAACUGGGACUUCACUUUGAAAGAAAACGCAGAGAGAAAGAUGAUGAUGUUGUAAGCCUUAGCAGCCUUGAUCUGAAGAGCCAAGCAAUAAAAGAGUUCGACCUCUGGCUCGUGUCACGUCCUUGGCAAAUUUAAUCUCUCCUGUAAGAAAUGGAGCUGUCAGACGUUUUGGUCAAACAAUACAGCAUUUACCCUUCGUGGUGACCACAGAUCCCCAGCCUCUGCCCAGAAGUUUUCUAGCAGGUCAACAGUCCCAACACCCGCCAAGAGAAGGAGC
rnacentral:lncRNA from 1 species